rnacentral:rRNA from 1 species
GGUUAAGUGAAUAAGGGCGCACGGUGGAUGCCUUGGCACUAGGAGCCGAUGAAGGACGGGACUAACACCGAUAUGCUUUGGGGAGCUGUACGUAAGCUAUGAUCCAGAGAUUUCCGAAUGGGGGAACCCAACAUCUUUAAUAGGAUGUUACGAUUGUGUGAAUACAUAGCACAUUCGAGGUAGACGCAGAGAACUGAAACAUCUAAGUACCUGCAGGAAGAGAAAGAAAAUUCGAUUCCCUGAGUAGCGGCGAGCGAAACGGGAAAAGCCCAAACCAGCAAGCUUGCUUGUUGGGGUUGUAGGACUCCAAUAUGGUAGUUCUUUCAGAUAGUCGAAUGACUUGGAAAAGUCAGUCAAAGAGGGUAAAAACCCCGUAGACGAAAUGUGGAAGACACCUAGGAGGAUCCUGAGUACGGCGGAACACGAGAAAUUCCGUCGGAAUCCGGGAGGACCAUCUCCCAAGGCUAAAUACUCCCUAGUGACCGAUAGUGAACCAGUACCGUGAGGGAAAGGUGAAAAGCACCCCGGAAGGGGAGUGAAAUAGAACCUGAAACCGUGUGCCUACAACAAGUCAAAGCCCGUUAAUGGGUGAUGGCGUGCCUUUUGUAGAAUGAACCGGCGAGUUACGAUUGCAUGCGAGGUUAAGUUGAAGAGACGGAGCCGCAGCGAAAGCGAGUCUGAAUAGGGCGUUUGAGUAUGUAGUCGUAGACCCGAAACCAUGUGAUCUACCCAUGUCCAGGUUGAAGGUGCGGUAAAACGCACUGGAGGACCGAACCCACGUACGUUGAAAAGUGCGGGGAUGAGGUGUGGGUAGCGGAGAAAUUCCAAACGAACUUGGAGAUAGCUGGUUCUCUCCGAAAUAGCUUUAGGGCUAGCCUCGGAAUU